rnacentral:rRNA from 1 species
ACGAACGCUGGCGGCGCGCCUAACACAUGCAAGUCGAACGAGCGAGAGAGAGCUUGCUUUCUCGAGCGAGUGGCGAACGGGUGAGUAACGCGUGAGGAACCUGCCUCAAAGAGGGGAACAACAGUUGGAAACGACUGCUAAUACCGCAUAAGCCCACGACCCGGCAUCGGGUCGAGGGAAAAGGAGCAAUCCGCUUUGAGAUGGCCUCGCGUCCGAUUAGCUAGUUGGUGAGGUAACGGCCCACCAAGGCGACGAUCGGUAGCCGGACUGAGAGGUUGAACGGCCACAUUGGGACUGGGACACGGCCCAGACUCCUACGGGAGGCAGCAGUGGGGAAUAUUGCACAAUGGGGGAAACCCUGAUGCAGCGACGCCGCGUGGAGGAAGAAGGUCUUCGGAUUGUAAACUCCUGUUGUUGAGGAAGAUAAUGACGGUACUCAACAAGGAAGUGACGGCUAACUACGUGCCAGCCGCCGCAGUAA